AAAACUGUGGCUAAUACCGCAUGAUGACUGAGGUCUAAAGGCGCAAGUCGCCUGAGGAGGAGCCUGCGUCCGAUUAGCUAGUUGGUGGGUAAAGGCCUACCAAGGCUCCGAUCGGUAGCUGGUCUGAGAGGAUGAUCAGCCACACUGGGACUGAGACACGGCCCAGACUCCUACGGGAGGCAGCAGUGGGGAAUAUUGGACAAUGGGCGCAAGCCUGAUCCAGCAAUGCCGCGUGGGUGAAGAAGGUCUUCGGAUUGUAAAGCCCUUUCGACGGGGACGAUGAUGACGGUACCCGUAGAAGAAGCCCCGGCUAACUUCGUG
rnacentral:rRNA from 1 species